rnacentral:rRNA from 1 species
CCUACGGGAGGCAGCAGUGGGGAAUAUUGCACAAUGGGGGAAACCCUGAUGCAGCGACGCCGCGUGAGUGAAGAAGUAUCUCGGUACGUAAAGCUCUAUCAGCAGGGAAGAAAAUGACGGUACCUGACUAAGAAGCCCCGGCUAACUACGUGCCAGCAGCCGCGGUAAUACGUAGGGGGCAAGCGUUAUCCGGAUUUACUGGGUGUAAAGGGAGCGUAGACGGCGGAAAAAGUCUGGAGUGAAAUCCCGGGGCUUAACCCCGGAACUGCUUUGGAAACUGUGCGGCUGAGUUGCAGGAGGGAGAGCGGAAUUCCUAGUGUAGCGGUGAAAUGCGUAGAGAUUAGGAGGAACACCGGUGGCGAAGGCGACUUACUGGACUGUAACUGACGUUGAGGCUCGAAAGCGUGGGGAGCAAACAGGAUUAGAUACCCGGGUAGUC